UACGUAGGUGGCAAGCGUUGUCCGGACUUACUGGGCGUAAAGGGUGCGUAGGCGGACAUUUAAGUCAGAUGUGAAAUACCCGAGCUUAACUUGGGUGCUGCAUUUGAAACUGGGUGUCUAGAGUGCAGGAGAGGUAAGUGGAAUUCCUAGUGUAGCGGUGAAAUGCGUAGAGAUUAGGAAGAACACCAGUGGCGAAGGCGACUUGCUGGACUGUAACUGACGCUGAGGCAUGAAAGCGUGGGGAGCAAACAGG
rnacentral:rRNA from 1 species